rnacentral:rRNA from 1 species
UACAGAGGGGGGCAAGCGUUUGUUCGGAAUUACUGGGCGUAAAGGGCGCGUAGGCGGGUUUGUCGCGUCUGCCGUGAAAGUCCGGGGCUCAACUCCGGGAUCUGCGGUGGGUACGGGCAGACUAGAGUGAUGUAGGGGAGACUGGAAUUCUCGGUGUAGCGGUGAAAUGCGUAGAUAUCGAGAGGAACACCUGCGGCGAAGGCGGGUUGCUGGGCUGAUACUGACGCUGAGGCGCGAAAGCCAGGGGAGCGAACGGG